UUGUAUGGCUUGUGUGGUUCAUAGAGAGAGCUUGGGCUGCCUGUGGUGAGAGGUACGUGUCACGUGAUAGCUUGUGCAUGUGGCGAGGCCUCGCAAUGUUGUUAUUUUCCCCUCAGCUGUGUUCGCACUUUGGAGUGAAAGAACAGCUGGAGAUGAAAGGAACCUUAGGAAUUGCCUUAAAUACAGGAAUUGCACCGGCUCGAUUGGCCGACUUCCAGUGGUGAAAAAAGAAAAAGCCGAAUGCGAUAAUCUUUCUUCCUUCAGUCCAAAGCCUCUGAUCUUCACUAGCGAAGUUAUUUUGUCCACAGCUCCCGUUCUGAACCUGUGUUCAAGCGGCUGCUUUUCCUGCCUUUACGCUUUUAAUAAUUAAAUACAGGAAUUACACCAGAAAGAAUACUCGACUUUGGUGUCGAUUACAUGACGUAAUUACGAGAUACCGCUGUUCAGAAGCCUCGCACAUUCACCCAAAAUAACAAGAGCAGGAAAUACAGAUGUAAGACUAAGACUGGAAUGUCCUUAAUUUAAUUUCGUUUUUAAUUUAAUGUGUGGAUGAUAUUGUUCGGGCGGGACAUAUAUAGUGGCGAAAAGCGUCUAUGUAACACAAAACAGCCUUCCGAACACAACGAGUUUAAUGACAACAGAGAGAGUCACUAGCAACACAAACAAUGUCGACCUUUCAUCUGGGAUUACAACCUUGUAGCAAGCUGUAAUAACCUGCGAAACAUGACAAAGAUUACCCUGCAAAGUGAAACUAGAAACAAAUUAUCUAACAACUUACCACAUGAUGAAAGGACGGCGUAAGGGAGAGAAAUCACAACUUAAGUGUACUAUACAUGAGCGCUUCUCCACGUGCGAUUGAAAAGUGAACAAGCUACUGAAGCAUUAUGGUCUUGCGUAAUCUCUGUGGAAAAUUCUGGAACCAUGGAACGGACUUAACAUUAACGACUUGUUGUAAUUUAUUACAAGACUUCAAAGUUAUCUAUAUUGUGGUAUCAAGAUGAAAAUGUUUAAUUUAAUUUCCGAAGUGCUUCAUAUUAUACCAUCUCACAAGGUCAGUGGGGAUUCUAGGUGUUGUGGGUUUUCAAUUUAAGCAAAACUAUUUUCCAAGGAAAGUUUGAAUCUAAAAACUGGAUUCUGGAAGGGGAUGGGGGUGGUGGGCAAAAGGUACAUACAGAGGAAAGGGUAUUGGCACAAAGCAAAUGCUACACUGAUUUAUUACCUGCAAUAUCAUGCUAUGCCGGCUGCAAAGUAGAACUGAUUCAAUAACAUGCCAACAUUAAAAAUAUUUCACUGCAAGUGUAUGAUUAUCUGGAACUAAUAAUUUUUUCAGUGACACUAUAUAAAUGCAGCUGUGCAUGUGGUAUUGUAGGAUCUAGCCCUAGAGUAAAUUGAAAUUAAUGACUUGUAAUCAUAAAAAAUAUCAGUAUAUUAUAUAAUAAAUUUUCAAACUUUUAAGGAGCUCUGUCACGGAUGGCACAUCUUGAAAAGUUGAGUCUAGGAUUUUCAAGUUUGUCAAUUACAAGCCUUCUUCAAUCUGCCUCUUUCAAAGCCAUAAGUCGAAGUUCCUAAUAAAAGACAUAACUAUAAUACAAGAAGUGCUUCGAAUAUGUUCUAUACUUUACCUAAAGUAAGAACAAAUUAUGGAAUAUUCAACAUAAGAUUUAAGGGCCCCAAAGUAUGGAACUCAAUUAGUGAAAAUGAGCAAAACAUUUGGAAAUAGAACAUUUUACACAGAGAGUCAAUCAACGAAGGAAAACUGCUUGAUACUGAGGUGAAAACAAAUAUUAUUGCUAUUUCAGUUGUGUAUUUUUGAUGAUGAAUAACAAAUGUAGGUAGCAAAUCCACGCCAUAAAUUUACCCCUUUACCGAUGUAGAUUUGACCCGAAAACUGAUCUUCCAGCGAUAAUAUCAAAGCUUGUGUUUAUUUGAUUUGAAAAAAGGAAACAUUUUUAAUGCUAACAUAACUUUCGUCCACAAAUGCCUACAUGAUUUACAGGUCUCUUGAGCUCAACAGCGUGACUAAUGCUAGUUUUAACUUCCAAUCAGAGGUCGGUGCAAUUCCUGUAUUUAGCUGCAAGUUAUUCAAGUAUCACGGUUUUUGACGCCAUCUUGACAGGUAGCCGGCGCACCAAGGACGACUAGACAGCGAAUUUUGCCGGUCACCGGAGCUUACGGAGAACUCUGCUGUAGAUUUCAAGUUCACUGGGGUAACUCUGCAUUGCCAUAGGGUAGAUUGGCAUACUGUGUUCCACCUGUCGGCAAAUGGAACAUCAAGGUGCUUGUUUGUUUUCAAUUCAUGCCGAAAAGAAGCUUUCACAUGGUUUGGUACUUGCCAAUCCUCUGCCGUCACUAUCUUGUCAAUGUCUGGAAACACACCAAUGGCCAAAGGGGACAUCCAAUGUAGGUGACUCCCUCUCUCUCAGGAAGCAAUGCUUGGAAGGCUUCAGAUUCAGACUGUUCUUUGAUGCAUGUCAGGACUUUAUCCAGUCUCUCUGGGUGUUCAUCUGAAGUCUUGGAGAUCACAAUGAUGGACAGACACACCAACAAUAUCACUGUAUUAAACUAUGAACCGAUUUACUCACUGUUAAAAUUCCAAAUUUGCCUCAAAAACUCUUUUGAGCCAGCCACAGCAUGGAUAUCAUAAGGAAGUGAGUUCCAGUGCUUUGCUGUGGUGUAAUGCCAUGACUGUAGUAUCGAUAUGUAUUUUUGAAGAUGUAGGUUAAGGAAAAGAACGUGUUGUUGUUAUUGUACCA
rnacentral:lncRNA from 1 species